rnacentral:rRNA from 1 species
CUAAGGCUAAAUACUCUCUAGUGACCGAUAGUGAACCAGUACCGUGAGGGAAAGGUGAAAAGUACCCCGGAAGGGGAGUGAAAGAGAACUUGAAACCGUGUGCUUACAAGUAGUCAGAGCCCGUUAAUGGGUGAUGGCGUGCCUUUUGUAGAAUGAACCGGCGAGUUACGAUCUGAUGCAAGGUUAAGCAGAAAAUGUGGAGCCGUAGCGAAAGCGAGUCUGAAUAGGGCGAAUGAGUAUUUGGUCGUAGACCCGAAACCAGGUGAUCUACCCUUGGUCAGGUUGAAGUUCAGGUAACACUGAAUGGAGGACCGAACCGACUUACGUUGAAAAGUGAGCGGAUGAACUGAGGGUAGCGGAGAAAUUCCAAUCGAACUUGGAGAUAGCUGGUUCUCUCCGAAAUAGCUUUAGGGCUAGCCUCAAGUGAUGAUUAUUGGAGGUAGAGCACUGUUUGGACGAGGGGCCCCUCUCGGGUUACCGAAUUCAGACAAACUCCGAAUGCCAAAUAAUUUAACUUGGGAGUCAGAAUGUGGGUGAUAAGGUCCAUAUUCGAAAGGGAAACAGCCCAGACCACCAGCUAAGGUCCCAAAAUAUAUGUUAAGUGGAAAAGGAUGUGGCGUUGCCCAGACAACUAGGAUGUUGGCUUAGAAGCAGCCAUCAUUUAAAGAGUGCGUAAUAGCUCACUAGUCGAGUGACACUGCGCCGAAAAUGUACCGGGGCUAAACAUAU